UUCAUUUAAGGUAGAUUCUUGCGCCUACGAGACGUUUGUUUGGCGGCCUCUGAUUGGCUGGUAGCGGGAGGCAGACUGCUCGCUCAGUGGGUCAUAUUUUCGUUUGUAGCUUAGAAAACUAGCAAUAUGUUUACAUUUCUUCAUUUAUCUCACGUUUUACAAAAGAUAGGAAAGUUUUGGUCAUACCUAAGGAUUCGGUAUUAAAUGUACAAUUAAUGAAUCUUUUCCUGAAAUCAAUAAGUUAAAAUACAAAGGAAUUACAACGAGUAGAAGUGAAGGGAGAAACAUUUCAUUCUUUAUACCUGUUUUUAUUCAUCAUCGGAUUUUGCAUAAUUCAUGAGAUCAAGAUAAAAUAAAAUCUUGUGUUAUUAAACAAUAAAAUCACCCUGAAUACGCUGGUGCUUUCAGAUUUUAGAUGCGUGUAAUAUAUAAAGAGAAAAUGAAGAAUAUGUCUUAUUAUGUUGCAUUCGUGCUUGACUCGGUUUGACAAUAGUGCCGAGACACAUCGUUGGGUCUGGUCCUCUCAGCUAGAGCCGUUGGCGUGUUGGCAGUUGCCAAUUGGCGAUAUGAGAAGUUUGCAGUUUCGAGACUAUGUAUUCACCGAAUUAUUAUGUCCUUAUAUUUUCUAUAAAUAAAUGUAUAGAAUUCCCAUUAUAACUUUCGAACAUUUUUACUCAAAUAUCAUAUAUGUCCGUAUUUCUGGACAUAUCUGAUAAAAAAAGUAAAUAAUCAGAUGGAUGCAUCUGGUAUCGUUGGAGGUGUAGGCUGGCCGCGGGCGGGAAAUUCAGUCCAGGAAUGAAUUUGAAAUCUACGGACCUACUUCGCACUCUUCAGCUCAUCCUUAGUUUUAAUGAGAUGUCUCAAGAUGACAGCAUCAUUCGUCGCACCGUUUCCAGAUUUGCAAGUCAAGCUCGCAACAUUAUAAUGAAUGUUCAUCGUUACUUCAGCUCACAGUGGGGAGCAGACUCAAGAAAUGAAGUAUUUGAGAAGACCGCCAAAGCUACAGGAGUGCCAACCAACACAGUGAAAAAAAUCAAGCGACAGUCAUCUGAAUGUGGUAACGUCCCCUUCGCUUCACCUGUAUAUCCCAGGAAGAGGAUCCGAGUGAAGGACAAGGUGGAUAGUUUUGAAAAUGAGUGUAUUCGGAAGGAGAUUUUGUCUUUUUACGAGAGAGGAGAGCUCCCAACGUUAGAUGCCCUACUGGAAAAAGUGAAGGAAGACCCGGUGAAGUUUAAUGGUGGAAGAACAACGUUAUGGAAAAUUGUGAGAGGGCUUGGAUUCCGGUACAAAAAAAGUGACGAGUGGAAGAGCAAUUUUAAUGGAACGUGAUGAUAUAGUGGCAGCGAGAACUGAAUACCUACGGUUAAUUGAAAAGAAUAGGAAUUGUAGUCCAACUGAACGUAAACCUGAAGUAUUCCUUGAUGAAACUUGGAUAAACCAAAAUGAAUGUGUACGUCAGUGUUGGACAACGGGUGAAGGCGAAAUAGGACCCAAACUUAAGACUGGAAAGGGAUCAAGAUUUAUUGUGGUGCACUCGGGGAGUGAGAAGGGGUUUGUCAAAGAUGCGCUAUUGUUGUUUAGGUCAAAAAAUGGUGCCAAAGGGGACUACCAUGAUUCCAUGGACCAUGAAAGGUUUUUAAAGUGGUUUAAGGAACAACUAUUGCCUAAUAUAGAAGAUAGAUCUCUAAUCAUAAUGGACAAUGCUCCCUACCAUAGCAAAAUAGAAAAUAAAGUGCCAACAACCAGCAACAGAAAAAGUGAAGUCAUACAGUGGCUUUCUUCUAAUAACGUCACCCACGACCCAUCAGCAACAAAGCCAAAAUUGUUGCAGAUUGCCAAGUGUCACAAAGAAAAACAGAGGUAUGUUAUAGAUGAGAUAGCCUGUGCAAAUGGUCAUGAUGUGCUCAGACUGCCACCAUAUUAUUGUCAGUUUAACCCCAUAGAACUUAUAUGGGCUCAAAUAAAGGGGAUAUCAGAAAAAAUAACUCUAAUGCAAAUCAAUCUUUGAAAACUGUUGAGCAGCUUACGAGACUGGCGAUAGACAAAGUUACAACAGAAGACUGGAAGAAAUGUUUUCACCACGUUAAGAAAUUAGAAGAUGAUUAUAGGAGGAAAGAUGUUGCUAGAGAGCAUAUGUUUGAAAGUUUUUUUAUUGACAUUGGGGAUGACGAAACUGACAGUGAUGAUAUUGAUAUUAGGGAGGAUGACACUGACAGUGAUGAUAUAUAUCAAUGAUUUUCCAUUAUUUUUUUUUUUUUUAAGUUGAAGACCUAACAGUGUUUCUAUAGUUUUCCAAUUUUUAGAUAGGCAAUUUCAUAACUACAGUAUAUCCAUAUGAGUUUCUUUUUUUUUUAAUAUUUUAAUGGCAUAACAAUGUACAUAUCUGUUUAUAAAUUCUUUUUACUUGGUUUUAAUAGAAAAGGGGAUAUCAAUGUAUCUUUAUAAUUUCCCAUUCUUUUUGUUCUAAUAGGUAAUGACAUGAUUAUGUAUAUAUGCAUGAUUUUCCUUUAUUUAUUUUUUAAAUAGUGAUGACGUAAGAAAAUUUGUAAAAUUUUAAUUUCUUUUUGUUCAUAUCGAUAGCCUAAUGACAUACCAAUGUAAGCCUACUGUGUAUGAGUUUCUUUUGUGUUUAUGACAUAAUAUAUCUGCAUGAAUUUCCAUUCUUUUUGUAUAAAAAGAUGAUGAUAUAACAGUCUUCUGAUUAGUCUCAUUAUCCAACAUGUACUAUAUAUAUACAAUUAUGCAGGGCUGUGGGAACGGUUACGGGAGCUAUUCUAACUCAGGUAUGAAUUAAGUGAUUCAAGAAUAAUCAACUACCUCAGGAGAAAACUAAGCAAAUUUUUCCUAAACAUUGUUGUAGACGUUGUCAAGUGUAACAUGUAUAUAAAGGAGAUAAACAUUCUGGUGUAAGAGUAACUCAAGCAAUUCUGAAAAAGACAGUAUAUUAUAUUCGUUACAUCGUCAACAAAUUUUAUGGUAAGAAAUAAACAUUUGUACUUUUGUUUAUUGAGUGAACAUAUGAAAACCAUAAGCUUUUGAUGUUAUUGGCCAGAGAAACAAGUUCUGUUAUUUAUCAGUGAGCCUCAUAAAGCAUGUACAUUUCUCACUUAGACUAAAUUGAAGCCAACACCCAGAUGCAUCCAUCUGAUUAUUUACUUUUCUUUUAUCAGAUAUGUCCAGAAAUACGGACAUAUAUAAUAUUUUAGUAAAAAUGUUCGAAAGUCAUAAUGGGAAUUCUAUGCAUUUAUUUAUAGAAAAUGUAAUGACAUAAUAAUUCGGUAAAUACAUAGUCUCGAAACUGCAAACUUCUCAUAUCGCCAAUUGGCAACUGCCAACACGCUAACAGCUCUAGCUGAGAGGACCAGCCCCACGAUAUCUUGCGUCUCUCGGCACUACUGUCAAACCGAGUCAAGCACGGAUGCAACAUAAUAAGACAUAUUCUUCAUUUUCUCUUUACAUAUUACACGUAUUUAAAAUCUGAAAGCACCAGCGUAUUCAGGGUGAUUUCAUUGUUUUAAAACACAAGAUUUCAUUUUAUCUUGAUCUCGUGAAUUAUGCAAAAUCCGAUGAUGAAUAAAAACAGGUAUAAAGAAUGAAAUGUUUCUCCCUUCACUUCUACUCGUUGUAAUUCCUUUGUAUUUUAACUUAUUGAUUUCAGGAAAAGAUUCAUUAAUUGUACAUUUAAUACUGAAUCCUUUGGUAUGACCAAAACUUUCCUAUCUUUUGUAAAACGUGAGAUAAAUGAAGAAAUGUAAACAUAUUGCUAGUUUUCUAAGCUACAAACGAAAAUAUGACCCGCUGAGCGAGCAGUCUGCCUCCCGCUACCAGCCAAUCAGAGGCCGCCAAACAAACGUCUCGUAGGCGCAAGAAUCUACCUUAAAU